rnacentral:snoRNA from 1 species
GUUGGACACCUGGACUUCACCAUGUGAGUGUGGACAAAAUGAGAAAAUACCUUUUUUCUACAGAAGGCAGCAAUCCUACAUAAACAUGGGGGUCUCUGUCUGACUUAGGACAGCUGGCUAAGUUAGCUCCUUCCCCUCCAAACUCU